rnacentral:rRNA from 1 species
ACCGUUGGAAACGACGGCUAAUACCCGAUAUACUCGGUGAUUCGGUUCAUCGAUGUAAGGCUCCGGUGCUUCGGGAUGGGCCUGCGGCCUAUCAGCUAGUUGGUGGGGUAAUGGCCCACCAAGGCGAAGACGGGUAGGGGGCGUGAGAGCGCGGCCCCCCACACUGGCACUGAGAUACCGGGCCAGACUUCUACGGAAGGCAGCAGUCGGGGAUAUUGCACAAUCGGCGAAAGCCGGAUGCAGCGACGCCGCGUGGGCGAUGAAGGCCUUCGGGUUGUAAAGCACUUUUAUGGGGGAAGAGACAAGGACGGUACCCCAAGAAUAAGCGUCGGCUAACUACGUGCCAGCAGCCGCGGUAAAACGUAGGACGCAAGCGUUUAUCCGGAUUUACUGGGCGGUAAGAGCGUUGAGGCGGUUCCGUAAAGUUGGGCGUGAAAGCCCCGGGCUUAACCCGGGGAGGUCGUUCAAUACUGCGGGACUUGAGGGCAGCAGAAGGGAAGGCGGAUUUCCCGGUGUAGCGGUGAACUUGCGUAGAUAUCGGGAGGAACACCAGUGGCGAAGUCGGCCUCCUAGGCUGUUUCUGACGCUGAAGGCGAAAGCUAGGGGAUCGAACGGGAUUAGAAACCCCGGUAGUCCUAGCCGUAAACGAUGGAUGCUGGGUGUGGGGGGUAUAGAUCCCCUCCGUGCCGAAGCUAACGCGUUAAGCAUCCCGCCUGGGGAUUACGGCCGCAAGGCUUAAACUCAAACGAAUUGACGGGGGCCCGCACAAGCAGCGGAGCGUGUGGUUUAAUUCGAUGCUACACGAAGAACCUUACCUGGGCUUGACAUGUAGGUAGUAGUGAAGCGAAAGCGGAACGACCCUUCGGGGAGCCUACACAGGUGCUGCAUGGCUGUCGUCAGUUCGUGCCGUGAGGUGUCGGGUUAAGUCCCGUAACGAACGCAACCCUUGCCCUUAGUUACAUGUGUCUAAGGGGACUGCCCGGGACAACUGGGAGGAAGGUGGGGAUGACGUCAAGUCAGCAUGGCCUUUAUGUCCAGGGCUACACACACGCUACAAUGGCCGGUACAAUGGGUCGCCAAGCCGUGAGGCGGAGCCAAUCCCCCAAAGCCGGUCUAAGUUCGGAUUGUGGGCUGCAACUCGCCCAUAUGGAGCUGGAGUUGCUAGUAACCGCGCGUCAGCAAUAGUGCGGUGAUACGUUCCCGGGCCUUGUACACACCGCCCGUCACGUCAUGGAAGCUGGCAACACCUGAAGCCAGUGAGCUAACCCGCAAGGGGGCAGCUGUCGAAG